GCUCUGUUUACCUAAAUGAAAAGCUUUCUAGGAGGAAGUCCUAAGUGAACAAUGAUGCAUGAGGAUGCAAUCUUACAGAGGCAAGGAGCCCAGUGAUAACAAAUGGCUGUAGAUGCUUUUCCUCCAUCAAGCUUCCAGGAGGAGAUGAGAUGGAGCCCAUCGCUGAGCCAAGGUCACCAGCCCCAUUUCACAAAUGAGACUGGGGCCCUUCCAAGCAGCAACUGAGACC
rnacentral:lncRNA from 10 species